CGGCCGUGCUAUUGGUGCGCCCGGCAGUGGGCACCCUCCUCCCUGUGUGACGUCGCAGCCCGCUGCACAUUUCCAAGCAACCGGAUAGGGACGAGAGCCGAUGUUGGGAUGUCCCGGGAAGUUGUACUACCUAGAGAUCCAAGUCCACUAUCCUGGAUUGACCAAGACAACAGAACCCAUCGCUAAGCAGUUCCCUGGGUUAUUUUCUUUGAGUUUGUAAGGUUCUUAGCUGAUGUUACAGCAUGAGUGCCCAACUGACUGAAUAAAGCUUUGCAACAAAGUC